GGUGAACGCUGGCGGUAGGCCUGACACAUGCGAGUCGAACGGCAGCACAGUAAGAGCUUGCUCUUACGGGUGGCGAGUGGCGGACGGGUGAGGAAUACAUCGGAAUCUACUUUUUCGUGGGGGAUAACGUAGGGAAACUUACGCUAAUACCGCAUACGACCUACGGGUGAAAGCAGGGGAUCUUCGGACCUUGCGCGAUUGAAUGAGCCGAUGUCGGAUUAGCUAGUUGGCGGGGUAAAGGCCCACCAAGGCGACGAUCCGUAGCUGGUCUGAGAGGAUGAUCAGCCACACUGGAACUGAGACACGGUCCAGACUCCUACGGGAGGCAGCAGUGGGGAAUAUUGGACAAUGGGCGCAAGCCUGAUCCAGCCAUACCGCGUGGGUGAAGAAGGCCUUCGGGUUGUAAAGCCCUUUUGUUGGGAAAGAAAAGCAGCAGGUUAAUACCCCGCUGUUCUGACGGUACCCAAAGAAUAAGCACCGGCUAACUUCGUG
rnacentral:rRNA from 1 species